GACAGAGGGUGCAAACGUUGUUCGGAAUUACUGGGCAUAAAGCGCACGUAGGUGGUCCACUAAGUCGAGUGUGAAAUCCCCCGGCUCAACCGGGGAAUGGCGCUCGAUACUGGUGGGCUAGAGGUCGGUAGGGGUGAGCGGAACUCCAGGUGGGGCGGUGAAAUGCGUAGAUAUCUGGAGGAACACCGGUGGCGAAAGCGGCUCACUGGAUCGAAUCUGACACUGAGGUGCGAAAGCUAGGGUAGCAAACGGG
rnacentral:rRNA from 1 species